AUACUAACCUGGCAAGGGAACUGCCAUGGUAACAAAGAUGGUUUUUCUAACAUGAAACUCAUCCCUUGUUCUCUAGAUAUGCUGAGCUCUGCUAUUGUUCCCCAAAGUGGGAAAAGUAUUUCCAACUUCUCUC
rnacentral:snRNA from 1 species